GACGGAGGGGGCUAGCGUUGUUCGGAAUUACUGGGCGUAAAGAGCGCGUAGGCGGCUUAACAAGUUGGGAGUGAAAGCCCGGGGCUUAACCUCGGAACUGCUUUCAAAACUGUUAGGCUAGAGUAUAGUAGAGGGUGAUAGAAUUCCUAGUGUAGAGGUGAAAUUCUUAGAUAUUAGGAGGAAUACCGGUGGCGAAGGCGGUCACCUGGGCUAUUACUGACGCUGAGGCGCGAAAGCGUGGGGAGCAAACAGG
rnacentral:rRNA from 1 species